UUCAACAACCUGUCUCUAAACCUGGUGCCUAAAGAAUCAGUUCAGGACAUGCUGGACAAUUACCUGCUAGAGACAGAUACUGAGUACAAGUGUGUCUGUGGUGGCCCAAAUUCUACCCAACAGUACAGCUUCAAAACCUUGCCCAGAGUUUUGAUCCUGCACGUGAUGCGUUUUUGUUAUACUUCGUCCUGGUCCCUGAAGAAACUACACAACACUGUCAAUAUUAAU